AUGCGGAAAUCUGGUAUACGACGCCGUUGGUGUCUUGUCUCGCCCGAAACGAUUUCUAUUGUUGCAGCCAAGUGGUCGCUCAUUGCUUUUCCCUUUCCUCAAAUUUGUUCGCCCAAAAAUGGAUUCCAACAAUGAGAAACGACCAGCAUCAAGAGUCUCAUUCUGCCAAAGAAAGAAGUCUGGGAACGGGAGCUUUGUGUCUAAUUUAAGAAAUCACUUUCAUGAAUUUAUACACGCUUCUUCGGAUGAACACAAGAGAUGCUUGAGAAACACAAUUCAAAAGAUAUUAGAUGCAUCAAAGAUUUUUGGGAAAAAUGGUGACAGCACAAAUGAAGGUGAGUAUGUACCCCUUCAGUCAUCUACAAAGAACUAAAAAAGGCUUUCUCGAUUCCAUCAUCAUCAGUAGAGUGUUAGAAGAGUUUAUAAGAUAUGUUACGGCCUUAGAACGCUUGAUUUUUCUUUACUACAGCAUAAUAGAUUUGCAAUGCAUUCGUUUUGUCAUUUGAUUGAAUUUUUCUUUCAUAAUGUAUGGAUUGCCUGCAAUUGUUUACGACUUAAACAUACUUAACAAUGUGUUAGGUAUAGAAGAAACAUAUUUCACUUUUUCUGAUUUUCUUCUCCUGCAAGUACUUGUGGAGAGGCUUAUCCAACUAUCAUUGAAGUCAAGUAGGACUUUGCUUUAUGGUUGCAUGUGAUUGUAGAAUUUGAAUUUGUAGCUCCGUAGUUAGCAUGCUAAACUGAAGUCAACAUUAAUUUCUCUGUUAUUUACUUGAUAUUUCGAUCCUGUUUCAGUCCUCAUACAAGUAGUUUGUGGUUAAUGCUCAAUUUGCCAAAAUAAGAAUUUGCAGGCUUGCAGCAAAGCUUAUAUAGUUUAAGCCUUUUAUCUAUCCUUAUAUAUAAAAAAAAGAGAUGUCAUUAUGAAUGGUAAGCAUCAAAGAAAUUUAUUACAGAGAAUUCUGAGGAAAAACAAAAGUUACUGAUGGUCGAUGCUAAAAUGAGUUCUCGAAAAAUGGUGUUCUUCUUCACUUUGAAAGUCAUUCUUCCUCCAGAGUUUUAAAUCCCUCAGCCUGUACAUAAUUUGUAACCCAAAAAAAUUACAGUUAGUGAACACAGCCUCCCUCUUCCGUUUAGGUAUGCAUUAAACAUCAUCAUGAAGUAUAUUGGUCUUAAAUCUAGUCAAUAAGAUAUUCAUUAGAAUUACACUAAGUGUAAAUAGUUUCCGGUUGUGGUUUUGUUUGUACACUAUACAUGUUAGUAAACAUGGUUGAGUCCAAAAGAGAAGAGAGAAAAUCAGUGAAUUUGAAUCGAUUGAAAUGAGAAAGAUAAUUACAUCAAAAUACCUACUUGGCUUAUAUACAACGUGAAAAUUAACAAACUAGUUUAUAAAAUAAUAAGGUAAAAUGAAUUAAGUUUCUUCCAUUAAGUUAAAAUUAAUUUAUACAUAACUAAUUUAUAAAACUUUCCGAUUUAGUUUCUUCAAAAGUUAAUUUUACCUUGUGGGAAAACUUAAUUUACUUUAUCUUCUUAUUUCUUCUCCUAUUUACUAAUAAAUUUAUCAAAACAUCACCUAUAUUUCUAACAAUAUGCACUAGUCAGAGUGAAGUAACCGGUGCUAUUUGCUUUCAAACUAUAUGCACAUGGCUUCAGUUUUUGAUGUAGUUUAAGAGGUUGGGUAGACAGCCAACUUGUACUAACUGUCCUAGACUUUCUUGUUAUAAUUCUCGUAAAAUAUUAUUCUCUUUGGAGAUGAGUAUCACCACCAGGCCCUACUAGGCAGCUAGAGGAUUAAUAGCCAUUGAUCACUUUUAGGAAGUAACAUAAAUCAGCAUCAGCGAGGGCAUCAUAUUGUGGUAUUGAUCAGUUUUUAGCUAGAGGAUAAACCGUGAUUUGAAAAAUGGGGCAUAACAUGAAUCAGUGAAGUCAUACAUAUUGGAAAUAGUAUCAUUGAGAGAAGAACAAUUCUACUUAUGGGAGAAUAAAAGAAUUGUUUCCAUAAUAAUGCUAAAGGGGGAAUCAUAUAUGUUACCUUUGUUCUGCACUGCUAAUGUUUAGUUUGCUACAUCCAGCAUUUCUAGUGUAAGCAGGUAGGGGAACCUUGCCUGACUCAAUGUUUUUGAUGUCCUCUAGGAGUAUCUCAUAUUGUCUCUUGACUUGAACUUCAGUUGUGCCUCCAACAAACAUGGCUAUGUUGUUCCAACGCUCAGGGGUAUCCUUGUCAUAUAUAGCCAAGGCAUUCUCAAACAGUUUGUUCUUCUCACUUGUCCAUCUAAGACUGGUGUCAGGAGAAGAAAGUGUGCUGGUUGUCAUUGCUACAAAAAUGAUUUCAGAUUGGAACAAAGGGAAAAUCCUGUGGACAUAUAGUCACUAAAUUAGGAAGAAUCUUUGACUGCAAAAAGGGGAAGUUAAAUGAGUGAGAAAGCAAUGGGUUAGAACUGUAGAAGACUGGUGUGAAACACAAGGGAGUAGGAAGUUGCUGAUGAAUAUUAUAAGGAACACUAGAUUCAAGAAAUGACACUGCGAAACUAGUAAUUGGUGCUCCAUUUAAACUAUAUAUGGAAAGUUUGCAAGUUGUCAAACAAAAGUACAAGUUAUUAAUACUGUUGUUAUAUAAUAUGAUGAUUGUGCAGCAGGGAGAUUAAUGAAAGGAUUCAAGUUCUGAAGAUUAA